UGGGCGUCGAGCGGCGGACGGGUGAGUAAUGCCUAGGAAAUUGCCUUGAUGUGGGGGAUAACCAUUGGAAACGAUGGCUAAUACCGCAUGAUGCCUACGGGCCAAAGAGGGGGACCUUCGGGCCUCUCGCGUCAAGAUAUGCCUAGGUGGGAUUAGCUAGUUGGUGAGGUAAUGGCUCACCAAGGCGACGAUCCCUAGCUGGUCUGAGAGGAUGAUCAGCCACACUGGAACUGAGACACGGUCCAGACUCCUACGGGAGGCAGCAGUGGGGAAUAUUGCACAAUGGGCGAAAGCCUGAUGCAGCCAUGCCGCGUGUAUGAAGAAGGCCUUCGGGUUGUAAAGUACUUUCAGUUGUGAGGAAGGGUGUGUAGUUAAUAACUGCGCAUCUUGACGUUAGCAACAGAAGAA
rnacentral:rRNA from 1 species